rnacentral:rRNA from 1 species
UGCUACCAUGCAGUCGAGCGAUGAAAUCCCUUCGGGGAUGGAUUAGCGGCGGACGGGUGAGUAACACGUGGGCAACCUGCCUCAAAGUGGGGGAUAGCCUUCCGAAAGGGAGAUUAAUACCGCAUAACAUUAGUUUUUCACAUGAAUUACUAAUUAAAGGAGUAAUCCGCUUUGAGAUGGGCCCGCGGCGUAUUAGCUAGUUGGUGAGGUAACGGCUCACCAAGGCCACGAUGCGUAGCCGACCUGAGAGGGUGAUCGGCCACAUUGGAACUGAGACACGGUCCAGACUCCUACGGGAGGCAGCAGUGGGGAAUAUUGCACAAUGGGCGAAAGCCUGAUGCAGCAACGCCGCGUGAGUGAUGAAGGUCUUCGGAUUGUAAAGCUCUGUCUUUGGGGACGAUAAUGACGGUACCCAAGGAGGAAGCCACGGCUAACUACGUGCCAGCAGCCGCGGUAAUACGUAGGUGGCGAGCGUUGUCCGGAUUUACUGGGCGUAAAGGAUGCGUAGGUGGAUGUUUAAGUCAGAUGUGAAAAUCCCGAGCUUAACUUGGGAACUGCAUUUGAAACUGGAUAUCUAGAGUGCGGGAGAGGAGAAUGGAAUUCCUAGUGUAGCGGUGAAAUGCGUAGAGAUUAGG